rnacentral:rRNA from 1 species
ACCUACGGGGCGCAGCAGUGAGGAAUAUUGGUCAAUGGGAGAGAGACUGAACCAGCCAAGCCGCGUGAGGGAUGAAGGCACUGUGUGUUGUAAACCUCUUUUGUCGGAGAACAAAACCGGGGACGUGUCCCGGACUGCGUGUAUCUGAAGAAAAAGCAUCGGCUAACUCCGUGCCAGCAGCCGCGGUAAUACGGAGGAUGCGAGCGUUAUCCGGAUUUAUUGGGUUUAAAGGGUGCGCAGGCGGUCUGUUAAGUCAGCGGUAAAAGUCCGGGGCUCAACCCCGGCGCGCCGUUGAAACUGGCAGG